rnacentral:hammerhead_ribozyme from 1 species
AUCCAACUAACGAGUACCGAAUAGGACGAAACUCGCGUCCUGGAU